GAACGACGGUGACUACUUCCGGGACUGGCUUUUUUAAAAGCUUCCGUUUCCGGUGUGUUCCUUUGUGGCUCUGCGUUUGUAGGCGGAACACAUGCGGAUUUCUCAGCUGGGGGCUGAGCACCUGGAUUUGGAGUGGAGCAAGUAGAGGAUAUUGACCCAUGAGGGUUGAGUCAGGAGCGGCCAUCUAAUUGACUGUUGAUGCCCGAGAUUGCCCAAGCAGUGGAGGAAAUGGAUUGGCUCACAGUCACUUCCUUUUUGAUGGUGGUUGCAGGUCUGGGUCGGUAGCGGAUCAAAGUGGGUAAAUAUACAGUGUCCGGGUCUUAGAAAUUUAAUCCAAGCAGGACUCUAGCUUGAGUGCCUGUAUUCCUUUGUGAUAAUUUGAUCCUGAGAUCUCCAUGUCAAGAGAGGUGAACCAGGUCACGAAGUUCUGUCAUUGUACAUUGGAAGUGACAUCAUUAGAAAUGGGCGUGAUCAGAAAAAAAUAUCCAACCUGAUCCUUGGUGAUGGGGAUGUUCUGAUGGCAGGAAUGAGGAGAAAAUGAGUCCUCUGUUGCUCCCACCCUUCCCAGCUAUAGUCAGGUGAUCCCACUGGUGUCUAAUGAAAGGGCAGCCAAGUUUAGGAGUUUUACUUUGAAAGCAGCAAGUAAGUUGCAGGUAAAA